rnacentral:rRNA from 1 species
AACAGGAUUAGAUACCCUGGUAGUCACGCCGUAAACGAUGUCUACUUGAAGGUUGUGGCCUUGAGCCGUGGCUUUCGGAGCUAACGCGUUAAGUAGACCGCCUGGGGAGUACGGUCGCAAGAUUAAAACUCAAAUGAAUUGACGGGGGCCCGCACAAGCGGUGGAGCAUGUGGUUUAAUUCGAUGCAACGCGAAGAACCUUACCUACUCUUGACAUCCACAGAAGAGACCAGAGAUGGACUUGUGCCUUCGGGAACUGUGAGACAGGUGCUGCAUGGCUGUCGUCAGCUCGUGUUGUGAAAUGUUGGGUUAAGUCCCGCAACGAGCGCAACCCUUAUCCUUGUUUGCCAGCACGUAAUGGUGGGAACUCCAGGGAGACUGCCGGUGAUAAACCGGAGGAAGGUGGGGACGACGUCAAGUCAUCAUGGCCCUUACGAGUAGGGCUACACACGUGCUACAAUGGCGUAUACAGAGGGCUGCCAACCAGCGAUGGUGAGCGAAUCCCACAAAGUACGUCGUAGUCCGGAUCGGAGUCUGCAACUCGACUCCGUGAAGUCGGAAUCGCUAGUAAUCGUGAAUCAGAAUGUCACGGUGAAUACGUUCCCGGGCCUUGUACACACCGCCCGUCAC